UAAGCGAAUAGUGAAAGCGUCCGGCUUAACCGGAUACACAUUAUUCGAACUGCAAAGCUAGAGGACGAGAGAGGUUAUUGGAAUUCCUAGUGUAGGAGUGAAAUCCGUAGAUAUUAGGAGGAACACCGAUGGCGUAGGCAGAUAACUGGCUCGUUCCUGACACUAAGGCACGAAAGCGUGGGGAGCAAACGGGAUUAGAUACCCCGGUAGUCCACGCCGUAAACUAUGGAUGCUA
rnacentral:rRNA from 1 species